rnacentral:rRNA from 1 species
UGGGGAAUAUUGCACAAUGGGCGGAAGCCUGAUGCAGCGACGCCGCGUGGGGGAUGAAGGCCUUCGGGUUGUAAACUCCUUUCGACAGGGACGAAGCUUUUGUGACGGUACCUGUAUAAGAAGCACCGGCUAACUACGUGCCAGCAGCCGCGGUAAUACGUAGGGUGCGAGCGUUGUCCGGAAUUACUGGGCGUAAAGGGCUCGUAGGUGGUUUGUCGCGUCGUCUGUGAAAUUCCGGGGCUUAACUCCGGGCGUGCAGGCGAUACGGGCUGACUUGAGUGCUGUAGGGGGGACUGGAAUUCCUGGUGUAGCGGUGAAAUGCGCAGAUAUCAGGAGGAACACCGAUGGCGAAGGCAGGUCUCUGGGCAGUAACUGACGCUGAGGGGCGAAAGCAUGGGUAGCGAACAGG